rnacentral:rRNA from 1 species
UGGUUCGAUCCUGGCUCAGGACGAACGCUGGCGGCGUGCCUAACACAUGCAAGUCGAGCGAGUGGAGUUCUUCGGAACAAAGCUAGCGGCGGACGGGUGAGUAACACGUGGGCAACCUGCCUCAUAGAGGGGAAUAGCCUUCCGAAAGGGAGAUUAAUACCGCAUAAGAUUGUAGCUUCGCAUGAAGUAGCAAUUAAAGGAGCAAUCCGCUAUGAGAUGGGCCCGCGGCGCAUUAGCUAGUUGGUGAGGUAACGGCUCACCAAGGCGACGAUGCGUAGCCGACCUGAGAGGGUGAUCGGCCACAUUGGGACUGAGACACGGCCCAGACUUCUACGGGAGGCAGCAGUGGGGAAUAUUGCACAAUGGGGGAAACCCUGAUGCAGCAACGCCACGUGAGUGAUGACGGCCUUCGGGUUGUAAAGCUCUGUCUUCAGGGACGAUAAUGACGGUACCUGAGGAGGAAGCCACGGCUAACUACGUGCCAGCAGCCGCGGUAAUACGUAGGUGGCGAGCGUUGUCCGGAUUUACUGGGCGUAAAGGGAGCGUAGGCGGACUUUUAAGUGAGAUGUGAAAUACUCGGGCUCAACUUGAGUGCUGCAUUUCAAACUGGAAGUCUAGAGUGCAGGAGAGGAGAAUGGAAUUCCUAGUGUAGCGGUGAAAUGCGUAGAGAUUAGGAAGAACACCAGUGGCGAAGGCGAUUCUCUGGACUGUAACUGACGCUGAGGCUCGAAAGCGUGGGGAGCAAACAGGAUUAGAUACCCUGGUAGUCCACGCCGUAAGCGAUGAAUACUAGGUGUAGGGGUUGUCAUGACCUCUGUGCCGCCGCUAACGCAUUAAGUAUUCCGCCUGGGGAGUACGGUCGCAAGAUUAAAACUCAAAGGAAUUGACGGGGGCCCGCACAAGCAGCGGAGCAUGUGGUUUAAUUCGAAGCAACGCGAAGAACCUUACCUAGACUUGACAUCUCCUGCAUUACCCUUAAUCGGGGAAGUUCCUUCGGGGACAGGAAGACAGGUGGUGCAUGGUUGUCGUCAGCUCGUGUCGUGAGAUGUUGGGUUAAGUCCCGCAACGAGCGCAACCCUUAUUGUUAGUUGCUACCAUUUAGUUGAGCACUCUAGCGAGACUGCCCGGGUUAACCGGGAGGAAGGUGGGGAUGACGUCAAAUCAUCAUGCCCCUUAUGUCUAGGGCUACACACGUGCUACAAUGGCAAGUACAAAGAGAAGCAAGACCGUGAGGUGGAGCAAAACUCAAAAACUUGUCUCAGUUCGGAUUGUAGGCUGAAACUCGCCUACAUGAAGCUGGAGUUGCUAGUAAUCGCGAAUCAGCAUGUCGCGGUGAAUACGUUCCCGGGCCUUGUACACACCGCCCGUCACACCAUGAGAGUUGGCAAUACCCAACGUACGUGAUCUAACCCGCAAGGGAGGAAGCGUCCUAAGGUAGGGUCAGCGAUUGGGGUGAAGUCGUAACAAGGUACCC